rnacentral:lncRNA from 1 species
CACCAAUCAAUAGAAUUGCACCUACAAAAGUAAAAACACAAGUUAAUCACUAUUAUUAAGUGCAAAACAUCGAUAUUAAAGGAAGUAAACAAUGCAAAAUUAGUGCAUAAAUUGUACUCUAACAUUGCCAUUCCCCACAAAUUUACCACCAACAACUAUUAACAUCAGUUUCUCCGUAAAUUGACUUGAUAAAAAAUAUUCUGGAUCUACAUAUCCAAAAGUUACUUUUACUUUAGUGGUCAAGUGAGUUCGAUCAAUUGCCAUUGAUCUAGAAGUCCCAAAAUCGGAAGUUUUGGCUUGAUAUUUAUCAUCUAAAAGUAUAUUUGCAGACUUUAUGUCUAGAUGAUAAAUAGGAAUUGAAGCAGCUGAAUGCAUAUAUGAUAGAGCUCCUAAAACUUCAACAGUAAUGCGUAAACACAUUUCCCAUGUGAUUGGCAACUGAUCAUUGGUAUGUUCAUGUAUGUAUUGAUAAAGACUUCUAUUUGGAAUAAAUUCAUAAACCAAAAGAGGAACUUCUGUCUCCAAGCAGCAUCCUAAUAACUUAACCACAUUCCUAUGGUUAAUUUGAGAUAAAAUGACAACCUCAUUGAUGAAUUGCUCAACAUUGCUCUCAUGUAAUGAUUUCGAUUUUUUAACAGCCCAAUCCUUCCAUCUGUCAACAUUCCUUUGAAUACAAUGCAUUGGCCUCCUUGACCAAGGAUUCAACUGACGUUAUAGUUGUCAGUGGCUUUUUCUAAAUCCUUUGAAGUAAACAAUUUUGUUUUCACAAUAUUACCUUUAUUUGAAGACAACUCUUGGCACUAGGGGUGGGCAAUUUUGGAUUCGGAUCGGAUUCGCUAGGGGUGGGCAAUGUUGCGGAAACGUGGGUUAAGCAAUUACUAAUACUGUAACUUCUGGAGAAAUAUAACUAUGGUGAUAAACAAAUGCAAAGAAAAUAGGACACAAUAAUUUACGUGGUUCGGCGUAAUACCUAUGUCCACGGACAAAAACUGGAAAAUAAUUUUACUAACAAAUGGGAAUUUACAAAAGUGGAAAAAACUCACAAAACCCACAACCCCAAUAUACCCAAAUGGAACCUCACUAGAACACUCAAGUGGAAGCUCUCUCAAAUUCUCUCAAAGAACUCACUUGCAAUUGCUCUCUACUUC